UAUUAACCCCCGACGCAAAAACGACGGGGUGUUAUAAGUUUGACGUGUCUGUGUGUGUGUGUGUGUGUGUGUGUAUGUGGCAUCGUAGCUCCCAAACGGAUGAUCCGAUUGUAAUGCGGUUUUUUUUGUUUAAAAGGCAUGUCAGUCGGGAGUGUUCUUAGCUAUGUUUGGUGGAAAUCGGUUCAGGUCUUCAAGAUCAUCAGCUCGUUUGCUAGAUGUGAUAGGAAUGUUACACGCUCAGUUUACUUGCAAGUAUAUGUGGGAUCUGAAAUUUGAAACACUAAUGUCUUUUGGAACCACUGAGCUGGUCUGCUAUUAGGGCACGAAGGUAGGAGACGUAACCCUGAACUGCCUUUUAGUAAACCCAUCGAGUUUGGGCUCGUUGAAUUUGUCUAGACGAGUUCUCUUCAUGUUUCUGAUUGACGAGAACCUGAUGCUGAAAAUGGGAUGUGGCGGAUGAAA
rnacentral:lncRNA from 1 species